AAAUGUGUCGAUGGCAACACCGCUCGAGGUCGGCCUUGGAGUUGGGUCGGCGACGGAAUCAACGUCUUAUAUUGUGAUUCUCCUUACAUUAUGGCCUUUAUUGCCCGAUGUGGAAUGAGAACGAGAGUGCUGGCGCAACUAAGAAUUGCGCGAUUCUACUCUGUGGAAAACAAGGCCGGUGUUGUGGUUGGUGUUUAUGAUAAUGAUGGCAAGGAGACUCUCAGUGAUGGAGCCCACCAUGUCAACACAGAAUCUUCAGGAAAUCUAAGCCGACUCUUGCAGUAGUCACAGAGUUGUAUACGUGUGGGUGAAGUGAGCGCAGGCGUAACUGAACACCAGACAGGAGCUAUUGCAGGGAGUAGACAACAUGGCUUCCAAUGAGAUACAUCUUGAUGGCCCCAGCACACGCAUGGGAGGG